rnacentral:rRNA from 1 species
GACGAACGCUGGCGGCAUGCCUAAUACAUGCAAGUAGAACGCUGAAGGAGGACUUUGCUCCUCUGGAUGAGUUGCGCGCGGGUGAGUAACGCGUAAGUAACCUGGCUGGUAGGGGAGGAAGACCAUUGGAAACGGUAGCUAAUACCGCAUAACAGCAGUUGUUGCAUGAGAACUGUUUGAAAGGUGGAAUUGCAACAAUACCAGAUGGACUUAGGUUGUAUUUGCGAGUAGGGGGGAUAACGGCUCACCAAGGCGACGAGACAUAGCAGACCUGAGAGGGUAAUCUCCCACACAGUGAAUGAGACACGGCCCAGACACCUACGGGAGGCGGAAGUAGGGAAACUUCGGCAAUGGAAGGAAGUCUGACCGCGCAACGCGGCGUGAGUGAAGAGGAGUUUCGGGUCGUAAAGCUCUGUUGAAGGAGAAGAGAGAGGGAGAGAGUGGAAAGUUCACACUGUGGCGGUAUCUAACAAGAGAGGGACGGCUAACUACGUU